UUCGCCCUUCGAUUGAUCCCGCCGGACCUGACUGCUAUCGGAUUGAUACUAAGCCAUGCGAGUCAUUGUAGCAAUACAAGGCAGACGGCUCAGUAACGCGUAGUCAACCUAACCUAUGGACGGGAAUAACCUCGGCAAACUGAGAAUAAUGCCCGAUAGAACACUAUACCUGGAAUGGUUUGUGUUCCAAAUGAUUUAUCGCCGUAGGAUGGGACUGCGGCCUAUCAGUUUGUUGGUGAGGUAAUGGCCCACCAAGACUAUUACAGGUACGGGCUCUGAGAGGAGUAGCCCGGAGAUGGGUACUGAGACACGGACCCAGGCCCUAUGGGGCGCAGCAGGCGAGAAAACUUUGCAAUGUGCGAAAGCACGACAAGCUUAAUCCGAGUGAUUUGUGCUAAACGAAUCUUUUGUUAGCCCUAGAUCCACUAACGAUUAAGGUGUGGGCAAGUUCUGGUGUCAGCCGCCGCGCUAAACCCAGCACCUCAGGUG
rnacentral:rRNA from 1 species